rfam:Streptomyces sp. NRRL B-3648 P438contig70.1, whole genome shotgun sequence.
CUUGACGGAGCCCAGCCGCAGCGGCUGUCCGGCGGGGCGGUCCUGGCCGUAGGUGGCGAGGAUGGCCUGGGCCUC